ACCCACUCACCCUCUCAUCGCACAGUCUGCGCAUGCUCAACUUUUCUCCCCAGAGUUUCGGCCUGUUCCGCCACCACUCGGUGAUUUUCGUCUCUUUGUUACACUGAUAGUGGAUUUAACUCGGAUUCAACCCAAACAUCCAGCGGACUGUGCGGCUCUCAAACAGGCUUUGAUGAGAGGCACUCCAUGAUGAGCAGCUAACGCCGUCGGCCGCACAACCGCAGGAAGAGACGUGGCUGCUGCUCCACACACAGUCGACGCAUGGCGGUAUUAGGGAACCCCGACAUGCUGACGAGGAAGAUAAAGCUGUGUCACAUCAACGCCCACAUCACAUGUCGCCUGUGUGAGGGCUACCUGAUCGACGCCACCACCGUCACCGAGUGCUUACACACCUUCUGCAGAAGCUGCCUUGUAAAGUAUCUGGAGGAGAACAACACGUGCCCCACGUGUAGGAUUGUUAUUCAUCAGAGCCAUCCACUGCAGUACAUCGGCCAUGACCGAACAAUGCAAGACAUCGUCUACAAGCUGGUACCGGGACUUCAAGAGGCGGAGAUAAAGAAGCAGAGGGAUUUCUAUCAGAAGUUGGGCAUGGAGGUGCCUGGGGACAUUAAAGGAGAGCUGUGCAACAUGAAGACUCAUCUAGAUCAGCGAAAUGGCGACACAAAAUCAGAAGACACGGGGAAUAAGGAGGCCGGAGAGGAGAAGCCAGAGGAGGACAACGACUAUCACCGUAGUGACGAACAGGUCAGCAUCUGCCUGGAGUGCAACAGCAGCAAACUUCGAGGUCUGAAACGUAAAUGGAUCCGCUGCUCGGCACAAGCCACCGUCCUCCACCUCAAAAAGUUCAUCGCCAAAAAGCUUAACCUGACAUCGUUUAACGAGCUGGACAUUUUAUGCAACGAGGAAAUCCUGGGAAAGGACCACACUUUGAAAUUUGUUGUUGUGACAAGAUGGAGAUUUAAGAAAUCUCCGCUCCUGCUCCAUUACAGACCGAAGAUGGACCUGCUGUAGCUACAAUGGACACAAUGGUUGUUUUAUUUGGAUCCUUUUGGUCGGCUCCUUCGCCGCAGACUUUGUGUCGCUAACUCUCUUCCGUAGAAACUUUCCCUUCAUUUCUAACGAUUUUUAUAUUUCUGGACUCAUCAGCUCCACUUGCAGCUUUUUGGUGUUUAAAUGUGGAGAAAAGGCAUUUAAAGUAAAAACAUGUCAGGAUGGUCGUCUCACUCCCAGCUGGAGAAGCUGCACAGUCUGCAGGUUCAUGCCUGAAAAAUGUAUUUGACAUUUCAGUUUUUGAUUCUGCCACAAGUAUUUUAUUUUUUUUUAUUGUUUUGCAGGACAGCCAGCAUUCUAGAACACAAAUUCAGGUUUUAACAGGGCGUUACUUAGAGCAUUUUAAUAUUGAAAUUGAGAAUAAAAUGACCACAGCUGGGUCGUUUGGUGCUUUUUAAAUGUGCGUUUGUAAAAUUAAGGAGGUUCAUUCUGUCACAACAUGCUGUUCUGAACUGUGUGAUGCAGCAAAUCUGCUAAAGCUCUUCUCUUACAUCCCCACAUCUUAGAAAAGUUUCUUACAUUUCUGCUUUUCAAAUCUGUUUUUCCCAAGCAAAUGCAGAACUGUCACCUUUUCACAUUUGAAAUUUUUUAUUUAGAAGCUUCUUCAUGAUGUGGAAAAACUGAAACGUUGUUUGAAAUCAUUCAAGAAGUGAAACUGGUAUUUAUUUUUCAGAAUUACAACUUACAGAAACACAAUAUUUUCACUUUCUGAAUGAAUGACUGGUAUUUUUAUCAUUUCAAUAAUAAUCCCACUUACUGAC